UCCGGUAUGGUGUAUCGGUUAACAUAUGUGCUUUUCAUGGAAUCAACCAGGGGUCUACGCACGUGCGCGGGGUUCGACUCCCCGUACCGGAA